rnacentral:rRNA from 1 species
UGUGCCAGCAGCCGCGGUAAUACGUAGGGUGCGAGCGUUAAUCGGAAUUACUGGGCGUAAAGCGUGCGCAGGCGGCUUUGCAAGACAGAGGUGAAAUCCCCGGGCUCAACCUGGGAACUGCCUUUGUGACUGCAAGGCUAGAGUACGGCAGAGGGGGAUGGAAUUCCGCGUGUAGCAGUGAAAUGCGUAGAUAUGCGGAGGAACACCGAUGGCGAAGGCAAUCCCCUGGGCCUGUACUGACGC